rnacentral:lncRNA from 7 species
GCUAAUAGUAGGUGACAAGGUUGUUUGGACGGCGACGUUCACAUGCUGGCCCCCGCUGGGAUUGUGGUUGUCAGUUGUUUCUCUUGCUUAAAUGGCUCGGGCUGGUGGUUAAGACCUAAACAACAACGAUUCGGUGGGGGGUGUUAUCGAUGCGAGCCUUUGGUAGAGGCUGAUGUGAUUCUGAUUUCUAAAAUGUGCUCAUAGUGGAGGAGGUUGGGGU